rnacentral:rRNA from 1 species
GUAGUCCACGCCCUAAACGAUGUCAACUAGGUGUUGGGGAAGCGAUUUCCUAGUACCGCAGCUAACGCGUGAAGUUGACCGCCUGGGGAGUACGGUCGCAAGAUUAAAACUCAAAGGAAUUGACGGGGACCCGCACAAGCGGUGGAUGAUGUGGAUUAAUUCGAUGCAACGCGAAAAACCUUACCUACCCUUGACAUGUACGGAACCCCGCAGAGAUGCGGGGGUGCUCGAAAGAGAGCCGUAACACAGGUGCUGCAUGGCUGUCGUCAGCUCGUGUCGUGAGAUGUUGGGUUAAGUCCCGCAACGAGCGCAACCCUUGUCCCUAGUUGCUACGCAAGGGCACUCUAGGGAGACUGCCGGUGACAAACCGGA